rnacentral:rRNA from 1 species
CCUACGGGUGGCAGCAGUGGGGAAUAUUGGGCAAUGGGCGCAAGCCUGACCCAGCAACGCCGCGUGAAGGAAGAAGGCUCUCGGGUUGUAAACUUCUUUUAUCAGGGGCGAAGCAAGUGACGGUACCUGAUGAAUAAGCCACGGCUAACUACGUGCCAGCAGCCUCGGUAAUACGUAGGUGGCAAGCGUUAUCCGGAUUUACUGGGUGUAACGGGCGUGUAGGCGGGAAAGUAAGUCAGAUGUGAAAACCAUGGGCUCAACCUGUGGCCUGCAUUUGAAACUGUUGUUCUUGAGUACUGGAGAGGCAGACGGAAUUCCUAGUGUAGCGGUGAAAUGCGUAGAUAUUAGGAGGAACACCAGUGGCGAAGGCGAGCUGCUGGACAGCAACUGACGCUGAGGCGCGAAAGCGUGGGGAGCAAACAGGAUUAGAUACCCGAGUAGUC